rnacentral:lncRNA from 1 species
AAGAGAGAGAGUAUUCCUUAGUGUGGAAGCACUGGAUGUGAGUUAAGUCGGUAAAACUUAUAGAUUUACACACACACACAAACACACACACACACACACACAAAACCCCUCAAAAACAUUUGGUAAGCAUGGUAUUGUAGUUUAAUUCUUGAAAAAGAAACUGGAAAAAGACAGGUGUUGCUAUACAGGACAUUGGUUAUCAGCUCGCUUUAAAUAGGGUGUGUUAAACAUGGGUAGGAAUAUAUGUCACACACAAUCAAUAUUUUGAUUUUUGCAGUUCAAAUAAUAGAGGUUAGCUUGGUUUGUUUUUUGCUGUUGCAUUCUGGAAUAUGUUCGAUUCUCUGUCGAAAUGAUUUCGUUUACAUUUGCUAAUGCUAGUUACAUAAGAAAAGCAUGAACGUCACAGAUUCAUCCGUUUGUUAUUACCCGCACCCCCCAUAAAUCUUAAAGCUUUCUGCUUGCAUAAAAAUAAAUCAAUAUCACAGUUUUAUCCCAAAUGGUGUGUUGUGUGUUUGUGACACUGGUAUGUCACCAGAGAAGGCGGCGAGUUGGCAGAAACGUUAGCACGCCGGGUGAAAUGCUUGGUGGUAUUUCGUCUGCCACUAUGUUCUGAGUUCAAAUUCCGCCAAGGUCAACUUUGCCUUUCAUCCUUUUGGGGUCAAUUAAAUAAGUACCAGUUACGCACUGGGGUCGAUAUAAUCAACUUAAUCCAUUUGUUUGUCCUUGUUUGUCCUCUCUGUGUUUAGCCCCUUGUGGGUAGUAAAGAAAUAGGCAUAGUUGGCCCCUUGUGGGUAAUAAAAAAAAAUCCGGUAUUUCGUCUGCCACUACGUUCUGAGUUCAAAUUCCACCGAGGUCAGCUCUGCCUUUCAUCCUUUCGGGGUCGAUAAAUUAAGUACCAGUUACGCACUGGAGUUGAUGUAAUCAACUUAAUCCGUUUGUCAAUCCUUGUUUGCCCCCUCUGUAUUUAGCUCCUUGUGGGCAGUAAAGAAAUAGGUAUGUCGCUAGAGGGAGCUAGUGUCUAAGUGUACAGCAGCAGAUUCUUAAAAAUACAAUUUAAAUCAGUGGCUUUGAACCCUAUUUUACCUGUGGAUGCCCUUGGCCCCUAUUUUACUUGGGUGGACCCUCAUAACCAUUCCAUGUUUAACCCUUUGGCAUUCAGAUUACUCCAUCAUACGCAACCCUUUAUAUAUUUACAUUUUUUCUUUUUUUUUCUUUUUUUAUUGUUUCAGUCAUUUGACUGCGACCAUGCUGGAGCACCGCCUUUAAUCGAGCAACUCGACCCCGGGACUUAUUCUUUGUAAGCCCAGUACUUAUUCUAUCGAUCUCUUUUUCCCGAACCGCUAAGUGACGGGGACGUAAACACACCAGCAUCGGUUGUCAAGCAAUGCUAGGGGGACAAACACAAACACACACACAUAUAUAUAUACAUAUAUACGACGGGCUUCUUUUAGUUUCCGUCUACCAAAUCCACUCACAAGGCUCUGGUCGGCCCGGGGCUAUAGCAGAAGACUCUUGCCCAAGAUGCCACGCAGAGGGACUGAACCCGGAACCAUGUGGUUGGUAAGCAAGCUACUUACCACACAACCACUCCUGCCCCUAUUUAGAAUUACUCAUGCAUGGUCUUGUAGCAUUAUGAUUUCAAUGAUGGGACUCUUUACUUUAGGAAAAGUAUUGUCGGGUAGGUAUAAGAGGUCAGAUCUGGUUGAUUUGAACAUGAAUUGGGAAGAAUAUUUGGGCCAGAAAGGGUCAUUGUAAAUGCUAAAGGGUUAAUUCUAAUUAUGCUUUUAGAAUUAAAUAUUCAUUUCUUUAUUGCCCACAAGGCAUAGGAGUGGCUGUGUGGUAAGUAGCUUGCUAACCAACCACAUGGUUCCAUGUUCAGUCCUACUGUGUGGCACCUUGGGCAAGUGUCUUCUACUAUAGCCUCGGGCCGACCCAAAGCCUUGUGAGUGGAUUUGGUAGACGGAAACUGAAAGAAGCCCGUCGUAUAUAUGUAUAUAUAUAUAUAUAUGUUUGCAUGUCUGUGUUUGUCCCCCUAGCAUUGCUUGACAACUGAUGCUGGUGUGUUUAUGUCCCUGUCACUUAGCGGUUCGGCAAAAGAGAUCGAUAGAAUAAGUACUGGGCUUACAUAGAAUAAGUCCCGGGGUUGAGUUGCUCGACUAAAGGCGGUGCUCCAGCAUGGCCGCAGUCAAAUGACUGAAACAAGUAAAAGAGUAAAGAAAGAGAGUAAGGGGCUAAACACAGAGGGGACAAGCAAGUGUUAUCAUUGUUCCAAAACUAGCCCAGAUCAUGACCUUUUCAACUCUGUUGGUUAAAAAUAAAAUGACUGUCUCAGGAAGUCUAGUAUUCUAUAGACACAGACCAUCCUUAAAUGGUGAGUGGUAAUACCAAGGCGGCGAGCUGGCAGAAACGUUAGCACGCCGGGCGAAAUGCUUAGCGGUAUUUCGUCUGCGUUAUGUUGUGAGUUCAAAUUUCGCCGAGGUCGACUUAGCUUUUCAUCCUUUCGGUGUCGAUAAAUUAAGUACCAGUUACGCACUGGGGUCGAUGUAAUCGACUUAAUACCUAUGUCUGUCCUUGUUUGUCCCCUCUGUGUUUAGCCUCUUGAGGGUAAUAAAGAAAUAGGUAAUACCAGUGCUUUGUAUCAGGUUAUCUUCGAAAUGUUUUUUACUGUUAUUAUCAUCUCUCUCCCUAGGGAGAGGGAUGAGAAUGACUUCCAACCUUGGUGGAACAAAAUUCCAUCGCAACUGUUGAGGAACUAGAAGAGAAGCUUGGUCAUUCAACCAUUCAUCGACACCUGUGCGUGAUCGGAAAAGUCAGCAAAUUGGGUCAAUGGGUUUCUCAGAAACUUUCUGAGUCUAAUAGUGCACAGAGAAUAAAUGUGUGCCCUUCUUUGCUCUCAUCUCACAAAUGAACCUUUUUUAGACCGAGUAGUGAUUGGUGAUGAGAAAUGGGUUCUCUACAAAAAUGUCAAGCGCUGAAGACAGUGGGUAGGGAAAGGAGAAACAUUUGCAUCCCAGGUUAAAGAAGGUCUUUAGCCACAUAAGGUGUUGUCAUCUGUUUGGUGGGAUAUGAAAGGUUUAGUCCAUUUUGAACUUUUAACCCCAAACCAAAUGAUAAAACAGGAGAUCUAAAGCGAGCAGCUUGAGAAGUUUAAGUCAGCACUAGAAGAAAAAUGGCCGUCUUUGGUUUCAAGACGAAAGGUGUUCUUCCAUCAGGAUAAUGCUUGACCACAUACAGUGAGGAUGACAUUCCAAAAGCUGGAGCAGUUUGAAUGGGAAACGAUGACCCACCCACCAUAUUCGCUGGACAUUGCCCCAUCUGAUUAUCAUUUAUUCCACAGUCUUCAAAAUCAUUUGGAUGGAAAAAAUAUGAAUUCUGUAGAUGAGGUCAGAACAGUAGUGGAGGAGUAUUUUUCAUCAUGGACAAGUGAAUUUUAGAAGAGGGGCCUUGCAAGUCUACCAGAUAGAUGGAAGAGCUUUGUAGAAAAUGAAGGAGAGAAUGGAAUAAUAAAUCUCUGAGUAACACCCACCCUUAGUGGUUAGCCAUAUUGAGAUGGCUAGUAUACUUUACGUUGAAGGAGAGAAUAUUUUAGAUUAGAAAAAAAGCUUUAUCUUAAUUUUGAAAAAGAAAAGAAGUAUAAAAAACCCACAUCAUUUAUGGGAUGAUCCAAAAUAUAUGUUUAACCCUUUAGCAUUCAGUUUCCUACUCUGUCAAUGCUUAUUUUUUGUGAAUUAUUUUUAGGGUGGCUUUGUAGGGCAGGUAGGAGAGGCCUGAUCAGGCCAGUUUGAACAUGAAACAGGGAGAAUAUUUGGACCCAGGCUAUGGCAAGUUUAAAUGCUAAAGGAAUACAUAUAUAUGCAGCAGGGAUGCACCACCUGGGUAGGCAAGGUAGGCAGAGCAACUGGUACUUAAUUUAUCAACCCCGAAAGGAUGAAAGGCAAAGUGGACCUCGGUGGAAUUUGAACUCAGAAUGUAGCGACGGGUGAAAUACCUAUUUCUUUAUUACCCACAAGGGGAUAAACACAGAGGGGACAAACAAGGACAGACAAAGGGAUUAAGUCGAUUACAUCGACCCCAGUACGCAACUGGUACUUAAUUUAUCAACCCCGAAAGGAUGAAAGGCAAAAUGGACCUCGGCGGAAUUUGAACUCAGACGAAAUACCGCCAAGCAUUUCGCCCUGCGUGCUAACGUUUCUGCCAGCUCGCCGCCUUAACCCUUUAGCAUUCAGAUUAUUUUGUCAAAUCUAAUGCUUAUUUAUUCACCUUGUUUUGAAUCAACCAUGCAUUGUCUCAUAGCUUCAAGGUGGAGGCGCAAUGGCCCAGUGGUUAGGACAGCGGACUCGCGGUCAUAGGAUCGUGGUUUCGAUUCCCAGACCGGGCGUUAUGAGUGUUUAUUGAGCGAAAACACCUAAAAAAGCUCCACGAGGCUCCGGCAGGGGAUGGUGGUGAUCCCUGCUGUACUCUUUCACCACAACUUUCUCUCACUCUUACUUACUGUUUCUGUUGUACCUGUAUUUCAAAGGGCCGGCCUUGUCACUCUCUGUGUCACGCUGAAUAUCCCCGAGAACUACGUUAAGGGUACGCGUGUCUGUGGAGUGCUCAGCCACUUACACGUUAAUUUCACGAGCAGGCUGUUCCGUUGAUUCGGAUCAACCGGAACCCUCAUCGUCGUAACCGACGGAGUGCUUCCACAUAGCUUCAAGAUUUCAAUAAUGUGAUUGCUUAUUUUUCAGAAUGACAUUGUGGGAUAGGUAUGAAAGGUUGGAUCUGGCCAAUUUGGGCAUAAAACAAGUAGAAUAUUUGGGCCGGGUAUGGCCGGUUUGAAUGCCAAAGGGUUAAACGUUAUAUUAUCGAGAGCAGGGUGUCCCAGGGUGUCGUUCAAAAGACAUUCGACUGCUAUUUCUAGAAGGUCAAAUCGAGAGGACCUCACACAGGCUCAGCUUAUUGUUGUUGUUGCUGUUGUUGUUAUCAAUCGUACCGGAAUAAACUGCCAGAUGUCACACAACAAUCCAUAUUUUGUAUUUCUUUAAAUUCAUUCGACAGCCAUUAUUAAUUCGUUACUUCAACCAGUGAGAUUGGGUGAGUUCGUUAUAUGUUCGCAAUUAUUUCAUUUGUCCUAACAUUCCAUUCAUUAGAAUUAUUAAUUAAAUAACUUUUGUUGCGGGUCGGGAAUAUUUCUCUCUUUCCACCCUCACAUUCUCUUUCUCUUUCUUUCUCUCUUUCUGUCUGUCUGUCUAUCUAUCUGUCUAUCCAUUCAUCCAUCCAUCAUCUAUCUAUCUAUCUAUCUAUCAUCAUCAUCAUCAUCAUCGUUUAACGUCCGCUUUCCAUGCUAGCAUGGGUUGGACGGUAUCUAUCUAUCUAUCUAUCUGUCUGUCUGUCUGUCUCUCUCUCUAUCUGUCUGUUUGUCUGUCUAUCUGUCUCUCUCUCUCUCUCUCUCUAUCUAUGUUUGUCUAUCUUUCUGUCUAUCUCUCUCUCUCUCUCUAUCUAUCUGUUUGUCUAUCUAUCUGUCUGACUGUCAGUUUGUCUGUCUGUCUUUCUGUUUGUCUCUCUCUCUCUCUCUAUCUGUCUACCUAUCUCUCUCUGUCUGUCUGUUUAUUUGUCUGUCUAUCUUUCUUUCUCUCUUUGUUUGUCUAUCUGUUUAUCUAUCUGUCUGUCUAUCAAUCUACCUAUCUAUUUAUCUAUCUAUCUAUCUGCCUAUCUAUCUAUCUAUCUGUCUGUAUGUCUAUCUAUCUAUCUAUCUAUCUAUCUAUACCUAUUUAUCUAUCCAUCUCUCUCUUUCUUUCUCUAUCUAUCUUUCUUUAUUUAUUUCUGUCUGUCCAUCCAUCCAUCCUUCUACCUAUCUAUCUAUCUUUCUUUCUUUCUUUCUUUCUUUCUUUCUGUCUGUCUGUCUGUCCAUCCAUCCAUCCACCAAAUCCAUCCAACCUUCCAUCUAUCUUUUACCUAUUUCAUUCACUAAACAAACGGUGGCCAUGCUGGGGCACUGAGGAUUUAGUCAAACAAAUCAAUCCCACUUUCGCAGUUUUUAAAGCCUCUUGCCUACUCUGUCAGUCUCUUUUGCCAAACUGCUAAGUUACAGGAGUGUAAACAAACCAACACCAAUUGCCUCUUUCUCUCUCUCAAACACACACACAUGUAGAUAAGUGAUUUGGGCAUUUGGUUCACAAUCAUAAGGCUGUGAGUUCGAUUCCUAGUGACACAUUAAGUCCUUGAGCAAGACAUUUUACUUCACAUUGCUCCCUUACAUUCAGCUGGCAGAAAUGAUUAGUAUGUGUAUUUCAAAAAGGGCCAGCCUGGUCCCGUUCUGUGCAAUACUGAAUCUCCCUGAGAACUACAUUAAGGGUAUACACGUACUUCUUUGGAGUACUCAGCCACCUUGCAUGUUAGUUUCACGAGCAGCCUGUUCUGUUGAUCAGAUCUAAUGGAACCCUCCUCAUCAUAACCAACAGAGUACCAGCUAUGCAUGUAUAUAUAUACUCUUUUACUUGUUUCAGUCAUUUGACUGCGGCCAUGCUGGAGCACCGCCUUUAGUCGAGCAAAUCGACCCCAGGACUUAUUCUUUGUAAGCCCAGGACUUAUUCUUUGUAAGCCCAGGACUUAUUCUUUGUAAGCCCAGUACUUAUUCUAUUGGUCUCUUUUGCCGAACUGCUAAGUAACAGGGACAUAAAUACACCAGCAUCAGUUGUCAAUCAAUGUUGGGGGACAAACACAGACACACAUACACAUUUAUAUAUAUAUACAUAUAUACGACAGGCUUCUUUCAGUUUCCGUCUACCAAAUCCACUCACAAGGCAUUGGUCGGCCCGGGGCUAUAGCAGAAGACACUUGCCCAAGGUACCACGCAGUGGGACUGAACCCGGAACGAUGUGGUUGGUUAGCAAGCUACUUACCAUGUAUGUAUAUCAUCAUCAUCAUCGUUUAACGUCCGCUUUCCAUGCUAGCAUGGGUUGGACGAUUGACUGAGGGCUGGCGAACCAGAUGGCUGCACCAGGCUCCACUCUGAUCUGGCAGAGUUUCUACAACUGGAUGCCCUUCCUAACGCCAACCACUCCGAGAAUGUAGUGGGUGCUUUUACGUGCCACAGGCAUGGGGCCAGUCAGGCGGUACUGGCAACGACCUCGCUCGAAUCCUUUACACAUGCCACCGGUACAGGUGCCAGUAAGGCAAUGCUAGUAACAAUCAUGUUUGAAUGGUGUCUUUUACGUGCCACUGGCACGGAAGAGGCCAGAUAGCUGCUCUGGCAAUGAUCACGCUCGGAUGGUGCUCUUAAUACCCUACUAGCACGGGGUUUGAAUGCCAGUAAGGCGACGCUGGUAACGAUCACGCUCGAAUGGUGCCUUUUAAGUGCUACUGGCAUGGAAGCUUAGUUUUUCCUUGGGGCUGGCCAGAUUGGAGCAAUCUCAAGAUUAAUCAGCCAAAACUGCAAGGAUGAUCCUGUUUUUGACUGAAGAUUAGAGGCUUCGAAUGACCCGUCCGUGUUUCUUGUAUCAUCUAUCUGGAUAUUUUGUUGUCCCUUUUUCGUAUCACUUAACUGUCCGGAUGUUUUGCGUUCUUGCCCCAUUUUGUAUUUUUUUUUAUCUAUACAUACAUAUAUAUAUAUAUACUCUUUAACUUGUUUCAGUCAUUAGACUGUGGCCAUGCUGGAGCACUGCCUGUAGUCGAGCAAAUCGACCCCGGGACUUAUUCUUUGUAAGCCUAGUACUUAUUCUAUCGGUCUCUUUUGCCGAACCGCUAAGUUACGGGGACGUAAACACACCAGCAUCGGUUGUCAAGCGAUGUUGGGGGGACAAACACAGACACGCAAACACACACACAUAUAUACAUAUAUACGACAGGCUUCUUUCAGUUUCCGUCUACCGAAUCCACUCACAAGGCAUUGGUCAGCCCGAGGCUAUAGCAGAAGACACUUACCCAAGGUGCCACGCAGAGGGACUGAACCCGGAACCAUGUGGUUGGUAAGCAAGCUAUUGCCACACAGCCACUCCAACGCCUAUAUAUAUAUAUAUAUAUCUUUCUCUUUCUCUUUUUCUUGUUUCAGUCAUUUGACAGCGGCCAUGCUGAAGCACCGCCUUUUAGUCGCGCAAAUCGACCCCGGGACUUAUUCUUUGUAAGCCCAGUACUUAUUCUAUCGGUCUCUUUUACCGAACCGCUAAGUGACGGGGACGUAAACACACCGGCAUCAGUUGUCAAGCAAUGCUAGGGGGACAAACACACACACACAAACACAUACAUAUAUAUAUAUACAUAUAUACGACAGGCUUCUUUCAGUUUCCGUCUACCAAAUCCACUCACAAGGCAUUGGUCGGCCCAGGGCUAUAGCAGAAGACACUUGCCUAAGAUGCCUCGCAGUGGGACUGAACCCGGAACCAUGUGGUUGGUUAGCAAGCUACUUACCACACAGCCACUCAUGCGCCUAUAUAUAUAUAUAUAUAUAUAUAUAUGUAUAUUUAUAUUGUAAAUAGAUAGAUAGAUAGAUAGAUAAACGGGAAUCUAUCUAUUUAUCUGUAUUCUUCAUACAAACCUAUGAAGCUUUAAAUCAUAUGAAACUGAGUCAAACUGUUAUUAAUGUGUGUGUGUAUGUGUGUGUGUGUGUGUGUGUGUGUGUGUAUGUGUGUGUGUAUGUGUGUGUGUAUGUGUGUGUGUAUGUGUGUGUGUAUGUGUGUGUGUGUGUGUGUGUGUAUGUGUGUGUCUGUGUAUGUGUGUGUGUAUGUGUGUGUAUGUGUGUGUGUAUGCAUGUGUGUGUGUGUGUAUGUGUGUGUGUAUGUGAGUGUAUGUGUGUGUAUGUGUAUGUGUGUGUGUGUGUAUGUGUGUGUGUGUGUAUGUGUGUGUGUGUGUGUGUGUGUUUGCGUAACCUGUUGCAUUUUCUGACCAUACGCAGGGUCCUCAGCACAAAGUGUCCUCACCUGCAAAUCAUCCUCGAACAUGAAAAUCUUCGUAACGAGACACACAGUGGCCUCAAUCACUCUGCACACUAUAAAUUUACUCUUGCACAUGCAUUGAGUGCCAUCUGUAAAGCUAUGUUGCAAGUAGAAAUAUUUACAAACAAAGACAUGUGACCGUACAUAAAUACCUGUGCACAGAUGCAUGCGUGUGCAUAGUCAUCACGCAAACGAAUAAAAUAUGAUCGGAUUACAUACCUCUAAUUAGUAACAGUCGCUUCAAUAAUUGGUACACCUGUUUACAUUACUCAACAAGAUGGGCUAUAAAUAUAUCUCUCUUUACUUGUUUCAGUCAUUUGACUGUGGCCAUGCUGGAGCACCGCCUUUAAUCGAGCAAAUCGACCCUGGGACUUAUUCUUUUGUAAGCCCAGUACUUAUUCUAUCGGUCUCUUUAUGCCGAACCGCUAGGUGACGGGGACGUAAACACACCAGCAUAGGUUGUUAAGCAAUGCUAGGGGGACAAACACAGACACACAAAUAUAUACACACACACUUAUAUAUAUAUAUAUAUAUAUACAUAUAUACGACAGGAUUCUUUCAGUUUCCGUCUACCAAAUCCACUCACAAGGCUUUGGUCGGCCCGAGGCUAUAGCAGAAGACACUUGCCCAAGAUGCUAUGCAGUGGGACUGAACCCGGAGCCAUGUGGUUGGUUAGCAAGCUACUUACCACACAGCCACUCCUGCGCCUAUAUAUAUAUAUGUACAUAAUAAUAAUAAUAAAAAUAGUAAUAAUUAUAAUAAUAGUAAUAGUAAUAAUAAUAAUGAUAAUAAUAAUAAUAAUAAUAAUAAUAAUAAUAAUAAUAUGAUGAUGAUGAUGAUAUGAUAAUAAUGAUGAUAAUAUGAUGAUGAUGAUGAUGAUGAUGAUGAUGAUGAUGAUGAUGAUGAUGAUGAUGAUGAUGAUGAUGAUGAUAUAAUAAUAAUAAUAAUAAUAAUAAUAAUAAUAAUAAUAAUAAUAAUAAUAAUAAUAAUUUUAGAGAAAUAUGUAUAAUUAAUUCAUUUCCUACAAUUGAUUAAUACCAUAGAUAUAUAUAUAAUGUAUGAUAUAUAAAUUAGAGGAAAAAACCAUUAUUGUGCAAUUCAAACGAUGAUAGACAUAAACCAAAUCAUAAAUAAAAAAUAAAAUAUGUUUAUAUAAAACAUUGUGAUCUAGUUAUAUACUCUUUUACUUGUUUCAGUCAUGUGACUGUGGCCAUGCUGGAGCACCGCCUUUAGUCGAUCGAAUUGCCCCCAGGACUUUAUUCUUUGUAAGCCUAGUAGUUAUUUUAUCCAUCUCCUUUUUGCUGAACCGCUAAGUUACGGGGAUGUAAACACACCAGCAUCGGUUGUUAAGCGAUGUUGGGGGGACAAACUCAGACACACAAACAAGCACAUACAUAUAUAUAUAUAUAUAUAUAUAUAUAUAUAUAUACGACGGGCUUCUUUCAGUUUCCGUCUACCAUAUCUACUUACAAGGCUUUGGUCGGCCCGAGGCUAUAGUAGAAGACACUUGCCCAAGGUGCCAUGCAGUGGGACUGAACCCGGAACCAUGUGCUUCAUAAGCAAGCUACUUACCAUACAGCCACUCCUGUGCCUACAUAUCAUCAUCAUCAUCAUCAUCAUCGUUUACCGUCUGUUUUCUGCGCUAGCACGGGUUGGACGGUACGACCGGGGUCUGGGAAGCCAGGGGCUGCACCAGGCUCCAGUCCGAUCUGGCAGUGUUUCUACAGCUGGAUGCCCUUCCUAAUGCCAACCACUUCAAGAGUGUAGUGGGUGCUUUUUACGUGCCACCUGCACAGGUGCCAGGGGGGUCUGGCAUCGGCCACGAUCGUUUGGUGCUUUUAACAUGCCACUGGCACGGAAGCCAACCAAGGCGGCACUGGCAUCGGCCACGUUCAGAUGGUGCUUUUUAUGUGUCAACGGCACAAAAGCCAGUCGAGGCAGCGCUGGCAUCGGCCACGUUCGGAUGGUGCUUUUUAUGUGCCACCGGCACAGAAGCCUGUCGAGGCGGCGCUGGCAACGGCCACGUUCGGAUGGUGCUUUUUAUGUGCCACCAGCACAGUUAUCACAACUACUAUUUCCAUUGAUAUUUGUUUCGAUGUUCAUGUACAUACACUUGACUCAACAGGUCUCCUCAAGCACAGCGAGAUGUUCUGGGAUCCAAAGUACUUUGAAUGGGCAGGGGCUAUGCGGAACUGGUGCCAGAAGCAUCCCGGGUCUUUGCAGUCACAGCACAUCUCCAGAGAUCACGUUCCUUCGCCAUUGCUUCAGUGAGGCCCAACGCUCUUUAAAAAAAUAUAUUUAUGAUUUGAUUUAUGUCUAUCCUUGUUUGAAUUGCAUAAUGGUGUUUUUUCUCUAAUUUAUAUAUAUUAUAUAUUUAUAUUGUGAAAUUUGAUUUAAUACUAAAUCGAAUUUUUCCCUGUAAGUUUGGAGUUAUACUCCCUAAUAUUAUUAUUGUGAGUGGAUUUGGUAGACGGAAACUGAAAGAAGCCCAUCGUAUAUAAAUAUAUAUUUUUGUGUGUGUGUGUGUGUGUUUGUGUGUCUGUAUUUGUCCCCCCCAACAUCGAUUGACAACCGAUGCUGGUGUGUUUACAUCCAUGUUGUAUUGUGGGGAGCAAUUAUUAUUCAGGUCUGUACCUAAGUUAGCAGGAGACGUUGCGUUAGUGGAGAGGGGGCUUAGUCCUAUUAUUUUUAUUGUUCACAAUCUUUCUAGUUUCAUAGAAUUUGCCAAACUUUUUAUUAUUCAUUGAGGCUAUUAUUGUGGCCAAGUUAUUAGUCAGGCUGUGGCCUAUUCUCAUUUUAUUCCUAAAUAAUUCUAUCUACUUAUUAUUAACGUUUAGGUGUUUGUCUAUGAUUUUCAUUAACGAGGGAACUAUAUUUGAUUUGAGGUGCAUGGUGUAGGGGAUUACGAGCCAGAUAUUAUCCCUAUUUUGUUUAUUUUUCCUAGUAUAGAAGCUUCCCUCCUUGUUUGUGAUUUGUGUGAAGUUAUGGUUGUACAUACCUUGGUUAUAUCCAUAGUCAUGCUUCACUUUCAUGUUGCUCUUGUCUGUCCUAUUGUUGUUAUUAUCGUAGGGUUCAUGUGGGUUCAAGGGCCUAGUUUCUUUGCUAUUAUUAGGGUUAAUAUUACUUCGUUGGGUGACUUUAGUUUUAUAGAUACCAAUGUAUAAGUUUAUACUAUUAUUUUUGUAGCUGAUGUUAUUUGGGGACUUAUUUGCGUAUUUUGUGUUAUUAGUUUUGUUAAUAUUGUUAAUCUUAUUUAAUAUCAGUUUGUCGGUAUUACUGUUGCGGUUAUUUUUGUUGUUGUUAGUGGUUUGUGUAUGGGCCUUGGCACUGUUCAUAUUGAAAUUACCCGUAAUUAUCUUAUUGUUGGUCUAGUUUCUGGUGGUGCAUGGUGUGUGGUUGGUGUUCGUAGUAUUAGUGAAUGGGUUUCUGUUAUUUGGGGGUGCUUAUAGGGUGAUUAGGGUUUUGGUAUUUGAUUUUUUGUUUAAAUCCUGCUUUCCGUAGUGUAGAGUUAUAGGUUUCUUUAUGUCUGUUAAAGAUGUCUAUGUUAGAAGAGACGAGUGAUAUUCUAUUGCUAAUGCUAUGUACUAAGCUUCUCUUAAUAAAGUUAGGGUGGUUACUUGCAGCAUUUAUAUAUUUGAGGUUCAUGUUAGGUUUCAUGUAGGGUUCAUAGAGUCCUGUGGCUAGGUUGCAGGUUGUGUCUAGGUAGUUAACAGAGGUGAGCAAGAGGUAGAUAGUCCAAAUCUUUUGAAGAAUUUAUGUAGUUCUUUUCUUGAUAAGCUCUAGUUUCCUAUUUGAGGGUUUCUUAAUUAUAUAUAUAAAACCAUCAAGCUAUCUAUAUCUCACUUGUUUCAGCAUUUGCCUGUGGCCAUACUGGGGCACUCGAGUUUUUAGUUGGAUGAAUUGAUCCCAGUACCUUUUAUUUUAUAAGUGUGGCACUUAUUCUAUCAAACUCUUUUACUGAACUGCUAAGUUACAGGGACGUAAACGAACCAAAACUGGUUGUCAAGCAGUGGUGGCAGGGACAAACAUAGAUACGAACACAAAGACACACCCACAUACAUAUAAAAUGGGCUUCGUUCAAUUUCCAUCAACUGAGUCCACUCAUAAGGCUUUGGUUGGCCUAAGACUAUAGUAGAAGGCGUGGAGGCUCAAUGGCCCAGUGGUUAGGGCAAUGAACUUGCGGUCACAGGAUUGCAGUUUAAAUUCCCAGACUGGACAUUGUGAGUGUUUAUUGAGCGAAAACACCUAAAAGCUCCAUGCGGCUCCAGCAGGUAGGGGGUGGUGAACUCUGCUGUGCUCUUUCACCACAACUUUCUCUCACUCUUUCUACCUGUUUCCGUCGUACCUGUAUUUCCAAGAUGCCAGCCUUGUCCCACUCUGUGUCACCCUGAACCUCCCCCGAGAACCACAUUAAAGGUACACAUGUCUGUGGAGUGCUCAGCCAGUUGCAAAUUAAUUUUUCAAGCAGGCCUGUUCCAUUAAUCGGAUCAACUGGAACCCUCGUCGUCGUAACCAACGUAGUGCCACAAAAGUAGAAGACAUUUGCCCAAGGUGCCAUGCAGUGGGACUGAACUCAGAACCGUGUGGUUGGGAAACAAACUUCCUACCUCACAGCCACUCCCAUAUAUACAUAUGCAUGUAUCUAUGUGUGGCUAAACUCCACGGGUCUUGUAUCAAAACCUAACUCCAGACCAGGUGUCGCCACUCUCUCUCUCUGUCCCAUUUAUGUAUUCAUUGCUUAUUUUUGCAAGCGAGACCCUCUAAGUACACUUAAUUCUAUACCAACCCUUAGCUCAGUCAACCUGUCAUAAACAGAUGCCACAGCUGGGGCCUGUUACAAUAGAUUAGCUUCUCAACCGUGGGAUCAAUUAUUUGUAAUCCCUUUUAUCUCCACCAUUCUCGAGGUUUAUCAACCAAUAAAGGUAUUUGCCGCUUUCGUUGUUUGUUUGUUUUUGUUUUUUUUUUUGUUUUUUUUUAUUUGUAGUCACAUGUAGAUGUAGCGUUUAAUGGAGGGUUUUUGCCUGAUGGAAAGUUUGUCGAGGAGGAGGAGGAGGGGGAGUGGGGGAUGCUAAAUGAACUGAGGCUUCAGAGAUGAAGUUAAGUGUUCUGCCAAAGAAUACACACAUGCACACACACAGACUUGCACAGACACACACACAUAUACACAUACAAACACACACACACACACACACAUAUACAUUCACACACACACACACGCACACACACACUCAUACAUUCACACACAUACACUCUCAUGCAAAUACCCACACACAAACACACAUACGCACACACACACACAUACUUUCCCAAAGAACACACACAUACAGACAAAUAUACAUAUACACACACAUUCACACACUUAUGCACACACACACACACACAUCUCUCCACCCCCACACACACAUUCACAUCCACAUACACACAGAGACAUUCACAUACUUACACACGCACACACAUACACACACACACACACACACACAGAGGCAUGCAUAAUUGCAAAAGUACACAUGCUCAUACACCCUACUCUCCACCCCAAACACACACCUAAACCCUACCCUCCAUCCCGCUGUUGUAUUGAACUCGUAAUCUGUCAAUCAAUAGAUCAAUGAAACCAGGAAGAAACUAUGGCAGGGUUACGUGAUUAGCUAGAAACAACAGUUAAAUCUCUUUUGAAUUGCAUUUUAUCUUUAUAAUGGUGCAAAUGUGGCUGUGUGGGUAAGAAGUUGGCUUCCCAACCACAUGGUUCCGGGUUCAGUCCCACUGCAUGACACCUUGGAAGACCAUGUUGGAUAAUGUAACGCUGGAAAAACAAAAAAAAACAAAAAAAUGGUGGGUAGCAGACAGAAGUGCUAACAGAUCAGAUGAAACGCUUAAUGUCAUUUCUUACACUCUAUGGGUUCUGAGUUCAAAUCACGCCAAGGUCGACUUUGCCUUUUUAUCCCUUUGGGGUUGAUAAAACAAAGAACCAGUCAAGUACUGGGGUUGAUGUAAAUGACUUGUCUCCCCACUCCCUCAAAAAUUGCUGGUAUUGAACCCCACAAGGGACCGGCAUCUUGUUGUUCAUUUCCAAUCUUCUGCACAAACAUGUCUGGCUAUGAGGGUGGUGGAGUAUUACUUUUCUUGGAAGCAGGUGAAGGUUGGAGACAGGAAGGGCACCCAGCUCCAGAAAAUCUGCCUCAACAAAUUCUUUCUGAUCCAUGCAGCCAUGGAAAAGUGGACAUUGGAAAAUUCCAGAAUGAUGGCUAAAUCCUAAAAUAGAUUAAAAUUUUUGAAUGGAAAUUAAGUUAAAACUGGAAAAUUCUAGAAUAAUGGUCAAAUCCUGGAAUCAUUGGAUAAGUUUAUGAAUAGUUUACCAAUCAUUUCCUUGGAACAGUUUCAAUUUUUGCCGAUUCCAAUUAAGACAAGUCACUGGAACAAUUUGCCUUGAAUAUCACAUUCUGGUCCAUGGUCACAGAAUACAGAAUCCGAUGCCAAUGUCUUUAUGAGAUUUUGGACAGUUUCAGACUUCUAAAGGAAACUGAAAAAGACAGUUUCUCCAUCUUUCAGUCAUUGAAUUCCUUUGACUUGGUGCCAGACCAAUUUGGUUAAAGAGAUAAAGGAUGGCCAUUUGAAUUAAUUCUUAGAUGUUAAGGUUGAGAAGCUGGCUUUGCAACCAAAUGGUUUCAGGUUCAGUCCCACUGUACAGCUCCUGGGGAAAAUGCCUUUUAUUAUAGCCCUCGGCUAUAAUAGAGGACAUGAGAGUGAAUUUGGUUGAUGGAAACUAUGAGGAAGCCUGUCAUAUGCGUAUAUAUAUAUAAUUACAAACAUGCAUAUAUAUUCUUUCAUUCUUUUACCUGUUUUAGUCAUUUGACUGUGGUCAUGCUGGAGCACAGUCUUUAAUCAAACAAAUCGGCCCCUGGACUUAUUCUUUGUAAGCCUGGUGCUUAUACUACUGGUCUCUUUUGCCAAACCGCUAAGUUAUGGGGAUGUAGACACACCAACAUCAUUUGGCUCAUGAUCACAGGGCCACGAGUUCGAUUCCUGGCAAUGCAUUGUGUCCUUGAGCAAGACACUUUAUUUCACGUUGCUUCAGUCCACUCAGCUGGCAAAAAUGAGUACUACCUGUAUUUCAAAGGGCCGAUCUUGUCACAUUUUGUGCCACACUGAAUCUCCCUGAGAACUACAUUAAAGGCACACGUGUCUGUGGAGUGCUCAGCCACUUGCGCAUUAAUUUCUGAAGCAAGCUGUUCUGUCAAUUGUAUUGGCUGGGACCCUCAUCAUUGUAACCAACAGAUUGCUCCUAUAUAUGUAUAUAUAUAUAUAUAUAUACAUAUAUAGGAGCAAUAUAUAUAUGUAUGUAUAUUCUAGAAUUUUCCAGUUGCAACUGGAUUUCCAUUCAAAAAUUUAACUAUUCCAGGAUUAAGGAAUUAUUCUAGAAUUUUCCAUUGUCCAGUUUUUCCUGCUUGUAUAUGUGUUUGCUCGGUCCCUCGGCCAAACUGCUUGACAACUGGUGUUGGUUUGUUUUCGUUCCCAUAACUUAGCAGUUUGGCAAAAGUUGUUGAUAGAAUUAGUGCCAGGUUAAAAAAAAAACAAAUAAAUGCUAAGGUCAAUUUGUUUGGCUAAACCCUUGAAGGUGAUGCUCCAGCAUGGCCAUAGUCCAGUGAUUGAAACAAGUAACUGAGCUGAGAGGAAGAUGAUGACCAAAAUAGAGGUUUGCAGAGGUUGUGCAUUUUGUUGCAAACCUCUGGUCUUCCAGUGUACCUCCUGGCCUUCCUAUGUACCUAUGGCUUUCCUAUGCACCUAUGAUCUUCCUAUGUGCUGAUGACCUUCCUAUGUACCUACAAUCUACUUAUGUACCUCCUAUAUACUUAUGGCCUUCCCUAUAUACGUACCUAUCAUCUACUGAUGUACCUCCUAUAUACCUCUGGCCUUUCAAUGUACCUAUGACUGUCUAUACACCUCCAUCCAUCUUAUGUACCUCUGGUCUUCCUACACACCUCUGUCCUUCCUAUGUACCUCUGAUCUUCCUGUGUACCUCUGGUCUUCAUAUGUACCUUUGACCUUCCCAUAUACCUUUGGCCUUCCUAUGUACCUCUGGCCUUCCUAUGUACCUCUGGUCUUCCUAUGUACCUGUGGCUUUCCUAUGUACCUCUGUCCUUCCUAUGUACUGCUGGCCUUCCUAUGUACCGCUGGCCUUCCUAUGUACCUCUGAUUUUCUUAUGUACCUCUGGCCUUCCUAUGUACCUCUGGUUUUCCUAUGUACCUCUGAUCUUCCUAUGUACCUCUGGCCUUCCUAUGUACCUCUGGCCUUCCUAUGUACCUCUGAUGCUCCUAUGUACCUCUGUCCUUCCUAUGUACCUCUGGCCUUCCUAUGUACCUCUGGCUUUCCUAUGUACCUCUAUCCUUCCUAUGUAUCUCUGGUCUUCCUAUGUACCUCUAUCCUUCCUCUGUACCUCUGGCCUUCCUAUGUACCUCUGUCCUUCCUAUGUACCUCUGGCCUUCCUAUGUACCUCUGUCCUUCCUAUGUACCUCUGGUCUUCCUAUGUACUUCUGUCCUUCCUAUGUACCUCUGGUCUUCCUAUGUACCUCUGGCCUUCCUAUGUACCUCU